rnacentral:rRNA from 1 species
CCUACGGGGGGCAGCAGUGAGGAAUAUUGGUCAAUGGACGAGAGUCUGAACCAGCCAAGUAGCGUGAAGGAUGACUGCCCUAUGGGUUGUAAACUUCUUUUAUAUGGGAAUAAAACGUUCCACGUGUGGGAUUAUGUAUGUACCAUAUGAAUAAGGAUCGGCUAACUCCGUGCCAGCAGACGCGGUAAUACGGAGGAUCCGAGCGUUAUCCGGAUUUAUUGGGUUUAAAGGGAGCGUAGGGGGAUUGUUAAGGCAGUUGUGAAAGUUUGAGGCUCAACCGUAAAAUUGCAGUUGAAACUGGCAGUCUUGAGUACAGGAGAGGUGUGCGGAAUUCGUGGUGUAGCGGUGAAAUGCUUAGAUAUCACGAAGAACUCCGAUUGCGAAGGCAGUUCACUGGACUGCAACUGACACUGAGGCUCGAAAGUGUGGGUAUCAAACAGGAUUAGAUACCCGAGUAGUC